rnacentral:ncRNA from 2 species
CUAUAUCGUGACGCUCUGGGUCUUGCGGUUCCCCGCAAGCCAAGAGGGAAGCCGGUGCGAUUCCGGCGCUGCCCCCGCAACUGUAAGCGGCGAGCGCGGCUGAUCACGCCACUGGGCCCCGGCCCGGGAAGGCCAGCCAAGCUGUGACCCGCAAAGCAGGAGACCUGCCCGAGCCUUGAUGACCAC